rnacentral:rRNA from 1 species
UCUGAACGCUGGCGGCGUGGCUAAGACAUGCAAGUCGUACGGUGUAGCAAUACACAGUGGCGGACGGGUGAGUAAAGUAUCGCUAAUGUACCCCGAUGUCUGGGAUAGCCAGUCGAAAGAUUGGGUAAUACCGGAUAAGACCACAGAACCGCAUGGUUCGGUGCUCAAAGGGUCACCGCAUUGGGCGCAGGCGAUAUCGUAUCAGCUAGUUGGUGAGGUAACGGCUCACCAAGGCGACGACGCGUAGCCGGGCUGAGAGGUCGGCCGGCCACAUUGGGACUGAGACACUGCCCAGACUCCUACGGGGGGCGUNCAGUAACGAAUCUUCCGCAAUGCACGCAAGUGUGACGGAGCGACGCCGCGUGUAGGAUGAAGUCCUCGG